UUCCCAAACAACCCGACUCCAAGGACGCUCCGAUGAACGACGCCAGGUACCGGUAAAGUCCUUACACCCGCUCUGGGAGAGGCCCCGAUCAGGAGGACCUAGGCACCCGGACAUUGCCCUAAUAGACCAAAGUGUCCUUCAGCGUAAGGCUGCGGGAUUCGGUGCUGAGCUCUUCCCGCUUCGUUCGCCAUUACUAGGGGAAUCCUAGUUAGUUUCUUUUCCUCCGCUUAGUGAUAUGCUAAAAUUCAGCGGGUACUCACG
rnacentral:lncRNA from 1 species